CCUACGGGAGGCAGCAGUGAGGAAUAUUGGUCAAUGGACGAGAGUCUGAACCAGCCAAGUAGCGUGAAGGAUGACUGCCCUAUGGGUUGUAAACUUCUUUUAUAUGGGAAUAAAAUGUUCCACGUGUGGGAUUUUGUAUGUACCAUAUGAAUAAGGAUCGGCUAACUCCGUGCCAGCAGCCGCGGUAAUACGGAGGAUCCGAGCGUUAUCCGGAUUUAUUGGGUUUAAAGGGAGCGUAGGUGGAUUGUUAAGUCAGUUGUGAAAGUUUGCGGCUCAACCGUAAAAUUGCAGUUGAAACUGGCAGUCUUGAGUACAGUAGAGGUGGGCGGAAUUCGUGGUGUAGCGGUGAAAUGCUUAGAUAUCACGAAGAACUCCGAUUGCGAAGGCAGUUCACUGGACUGCAACUGACACUGAGGCUCGAAAGUGUGGGUAUCAAACAGGAUUAGAUACCCCAGAAGUC
rnacentral:rRNA from 1 species